rnacentral:rRNA from 1 species
CACGUAGUUAGCCGUGGCUUAUUCAAGGGGUACCGUCUUCUGCUCUUCCCCUUAAAAGAAGUUUACAACCCGAAAGCCUUCUUCCUUCACGCGGCGUUGCUGGGUCAGGCUUGCGCCCAUUGCCCAAUAUUCCCCACUGCUGCCUCCCGUAGGAGUCUGGGCCGUAUCUCAGUCCCAAUGUGGCCGGUCAACCUCUCAGUCCGGCUACUGAUCGUCGCCUAGGGUCGGGCCCGUUACCCCGCCUACUAGCUAAUCAGACGCGAGGCCAUCUUCCAGCGAUAAAUCUUUGACAUGUCCGUGAUGCCACGGCCAUGUGUCAUGCGGUAUUAGCAGUCGUUUCCAACUGUUCGUCCCCCUCUGGAAGGCAGGUUCCUCACGCGUUACUCACCAGUCCGCCACUAAGCCGUUCCCUUCCAUUGUCCGAAAACUCUUUCGAGGGGUGCUCCGUUCGACUUGCAUGUGUUAAGCACGCCGCAGCGUUGUCCUUGAGUCCAGUAGACAAACUCUACCUGAGUACCUGACCCGG